rnacentral:rRNA from 1 species
CCUACGGGUGGCAGCAGUGAGGAAUAUUGGUCAAUGGACGAGAGUCUGAACCAGCCAAGCAGCGUGAAGGAUGACUGUCCUAUGGGUUGUAAACUUCUUUUAUAUGGGAACAAAAUGGUCCACGUGUGGGAUUUUGCAUGUACCAUAAGAAUAAGCAUCGGCUAACUCCGUGCCAGCAGCCGCGGUAAUACGGAGGAUCCGAGCGUUAUCCGGAUUUAUUGGGUAUAAAGGGAGCGCAGGCGGAUUGUUAAGUCAGUUGUGAAAGUUUGCGGCUCAACCGUAGGAUUGCAGUUGAAACUGGCAGUCUUGAGUGCAGUAGAGGUAGGCGGAAUUCGUGGUGUAGCGGUGAAAUGCUUAGAUAUCACGAAGAACUCCGAUUGCGAAGGCAGCACACUGGACUGCAACUGACGCUGAGGCUCGAAAGUGUGGGUAUCAAACAGGAUUAGAUACCCGAGUAGUC